rnacentral:misc_RNA from 1 species
AAAGUCGUAACAAGGUCUCCGUAGGUGAACCUGCGGAGGGAUCAUUACAAGUGACCCCGGUUUACCACCGGGAUGUUCAUAACCCUUUGUUGUCCGACUCUGUUGCCUCCGGGGCGACCCUGCCUUCGGGCGGGGGCUCCGGGUGGACACUUCAAACUCUUGCGUAACUUUGCAGUCUGAGUAAACUUAAUUAAUAAAUUAAAACUUUUAACAACGGAUCUCUUGGUUCUG